UAGGGAAUCUUCGGCAAUGGGGGGAACCCUGACCGAGCAACGCCGCGUGAGUGAAGAAGGUUUUCGGAUCGUAAAGCUCUGUUGUUAAGGAAGAACGAGUGUGAGAAUGGAAAGUUCAUGCUGUGACGGUACUUAACCAGAAAGGGACGGCUAACUACGUGCCAGCAGCCGCGGUAAUACGUAGGUCCCGAGCGUUGUCCGGAUUUAUUGGGCGUAAAGCGAGCGCAGGCGGUUAGAAAAGUCUGAAGUGAAAGGCAGUGGCUCAACCAUUGUAGGCUUUGGAAACUGUUUAACUUGAGUGCAGAAGGGGAGAGUGGAAUUCCAUGUGUAGCGGUGAAAUGCGUAGAUAUAUGGAGGAACACCGGUGGCGAAAGCGGCUCUCUGGUCUGUAACUGACGCUGAGGUUCGAAAGCGUGGGUAGCAAACAGG
rnacentral:rRNA from 1 species